rnacentral:misc_RNA from 1 species
AAGUCGUAACAAGGUUUCCGUAGGUGAACCUGCGGAAGGAUCAUUACAGAGUUCUUGCCCUCACGGGUAGAUCUCCCACCCUUGAUAUCUAUUCUCUUGUUGCUUUGGCGGGACGCUUCGUGCCACGGGCUACGGUCCGUGAGUGCCCGCCAGAGACCCAACCAACUCUUGUUUAUGUGUCGUCUGAGUACUAUAUAAUAGUUAAAA